GGUUCCACGCGGAGGGCGCUGGGGAAGCGCCGCCGGGGGCUCUGGGGACCCGCGUGGGGCGCAGUCUAGGCGGAGGCCAGCGCAGAUGCCCAGUCACGAUUCCGUGAGCAUUCGCCCCCACCGACGACGUGAGAUUUCUGCUCUUUGGCGAUUGUCACUGAUUUCACCUGCGUUAAAAAGGCUGUCAGGAGAGUAGGCCCUGGGACUUCCCAAAGAAGGGACCAAGCUGUACUCCCCCUUCUUCUCUGACCUUUUCAUAAGGACCAAGAGUUGGACUGGCAACACAGUGAAAAGGGUGAACCAAAAGUCACCAAUUUACCUGUGAGAAUAAAGGUCCACAUCCAAAGCAAGUGUACAUAAAUUAACU
rnacentral:lncRNA from 1 species